rnacentral:rRNA from 1 species
CACGUAGGGCGCAAGCGUUGUCCGGAAUUAUUGGGCGUAAAGAGCUCGUAGGCGGUCUGUCGCGUCUGCUGUGAAAACUCGGGGCUUAACCCCGGGCCUGCAGUGGGUACGGGCAGACUAGAGUGCGGUAGGGGAGACUGGAAUUCCUGGUGUAGCGGUGAAAUGCGCAGAUAUCAGGAGGAACACCGGUGGCGAAGGCGGGUCUCUGGGCCGUAACUGACGCUGAGGCGCGAAAGCGUGGGGAGCAAACAGG